rnacentral:sRNA from 1 species
ACACCAGACAGGGUGUAGUGGCUCAAACAUGUUGGAGAAGCAUUUCUGUUCAUAGAACCAUGCCAAGCAGGGCGGCGGGCAGCAGGUCGGCUCCUGUGGUUUCAACAGCCGCAUCCUGCCCCACGUGUACCCCAUCCGGCUGGUGAAGGUCAAUGAGGACACAAUGGAGCUGCUGCGGGAUGCCCAGGGCCUCUGCAUCCCCUGCCAGGCCGGGGAGCCUGGCCUCCUUGUGGGUCAGAUCAACCAACAGGACCCGCUGCGCCGCUUCGAUGGCUAUGUCAGCGAGAGCGCCACCAGCAAGAAGAUUGCCCACAGCGUCUUCAGCAAGGGCGACAGCGCCUACCUCUCAGGCACCUUCAAGAUCCAGAAGACGAGGCUGCAGCGAGAGGGCUUUGACCCACGCCAGACCUCAGACCGGCUCUUCUUCCUGGACCUGAAGCAGGGCCACUACCUGCCCUUAAAUGAGGCAGUCUACACCCGCAUCUGCUCGGGCGCCU